GAUGAACGCUGGCGGCGUGCUUAACACAUGCAAGUCGAACGAUGAAGCCCAGCUUGCUGGGUGGAUUAGUGGCGAACGGGUGAGUAACACGUGAGUAACCUGCCCUUAACUCUGGGAUAAGCCUGGGAAACUGGGUCUAAUACCGGAUAGGAGCGUCCACCGCAUGGUGGGUGUUGGAAAGAUUUAUCGGUUUUGGAUGGAAUCGCGGCCUAUCAGCUUGUUGGUGAGGUAAUGGCUCACCAAGGCGACGACGGGUAGCCGGCCUGAGAGGGUGACCGGCCACACUGGGACUGAGACACGGCCCAGACUCCUACGGGAGGCAGCAGUGGGGAAUAUUGCACAAUGGGCGCAAGCCUGAUGCAGCGACGCCGCGUGAGGGAUGACGGCCUUCGGGUUGUAAACCUCUUUCAGUAGGGAAGAAGCGAAAGUGACGGUACCUGCAGAAGAAGCACCGGCUAACUACGUG
rnacentral:rRNA from 1 species